rnacentral:rRNA from 1 species
GAUGAACGCUGGCGGCGUGCCUAAUACAUGCAAGUCGAGCGAACAGAUGAGGAGCUUGCUCCUCUGACGUUAGCGGCGGACGGGUGAGUAACACGUGGAUAACCUACCUAUAAGACUGGGAUAACUUCGGGAAACCGGAGCUAAUACCGGAUAAUAUAUUGAACCGCAUGGUUCAAUAGUGAAAGACGGUUUUGCUGUCACUUAUAGAUGGAUCCGCGCCGCAUUAGCUAGUUGGUAAGGUAACGGCUUACCAAGGCAACGAUGCGUAGCCGACCUGAGAGGGUGAUCGGGCACACUGGAACUGAGACACGUUCCAGACUCCUACGGGAGGCAGCAGUAGGGAAUCUUCCGCAAUGGGCGAAAGCCUGACGGAGCAACGCCGCGUGAGUGAUGAAGGUCUUCGGAUCGUAAAACUCUGUUAUUAGGGAAGAACAAAUGUGUAAGUAACUAUGCACGUCUUGACGGUACCUAAUCAGAAAGCCACGGCUAACUACGUG